ACGACUCUCGGCAACGGAUAUCUCGGCUCUCGCAUCGAUGAAGAACGUAGCGAAAUGCGAUACCUGGUGUGAAUUGCAGAAUCCCGCGAACCAUCGAGUCUUUGAACGCAAGUUGCGCCCGGGGCCACUCGGUCGAGGGCACGCCUGCCUGGGCGUCACGC
rnacentral:rRNA from 1 species